rnacentral:rRNA from 1 species
CCGGGCUAACCUGCAGUCGAGCGCGAACGUUUUCUUCGGAGAGCUAUUAGCGCGGCGGAAGGGUGAGUAACGCAUGGGUAACGUACCCCGGGCACGAGGAUAGUCCACCGAAAGGUGGCGCAAUACUCGGUAACGCCGGACCGGCACAUGCCGGACCGGCCAGAGGGUGGGGACCCCUUCGGGGGCCUGCCGGCCCGGGAUCGGCCCAUGUCCCAUCAGCUUGUUGGUAGGGUAACGGCCUACCAAGGCCACAACGGGUAGCCGGACUGAGAGGUCGACCGGCCACAUUGGGACUGAGACACUGCCCAGACUCCUACGGGAGGCUGCAGGGACGAAUAUUCCGCAAUGGGCGAAAGCCUGACGGAGCGACGCCGCGUGUGGGAGGAAGCCCUUCGGGGUGUAAACCACUGUCGAGAGGCUACCAAGCAAGUCCGCCGAAUAAGCGGAGGCGUUGAGGAGCUUCACAGGAAGUCACGGCUAACUUCGUGCCAGCAGCCGCGGUAAUACGAAGGUGGCUAGCGUUGUUCGGAAUCACUGGGCUUAAAGAGCACGUAGGCGGUCUGUCAAGCGCUUUGUGAAAUCCCUCGGCUCAACCGAGGAAUUGCCUGGCGAACUGGCAGACUUGAGGCAAGUAGGGGCGUGUGGAACUCUUGGUGGAGCGGUGAAAUGCGUAGAUAUCAAGAGGAACGCCGGAGGCGAAAGCGACACGCUGGGCUUGUCGAGACUCCGCAAACGGUUUACCGAGUGCGGGGCCUCUUCCUGACGCUGAGGUGCGAAAGCCAGGGGAGCAAACGGGAUUAGAUACCCCGGUAGUCCUGGCUGUAAACGAUGUCCACUAUGUUGAGGGCUCUUUGACGGGCUCCCGGCCGAAGCAAAAGUGUUAAGUGGACCGCCUGGGGAGUACGGUCGCAAGGCUAAAACUCAAGGGAAUUGACGGGGGCUCACACAAGCGGUGGAGGAUGCUGCUCAAUCGAUGCAACGCGAAGAUCUUAUCCUGGCUUGAAAGCACGGAUACGGCGCCCGAAAGGGAUGUCCGUUGCCCUUCGGGGUGAACGUGUACAGGUGCUGCA